rnacentral:tRNA from 1 species
CACUCCGUAGCUCAAUUGGUUAGAGCUUCGCACUUUUAAUGCGAAGGUUCUGGAUUCGAGUUCCAGCGGAGUGA